UUAACCAUUCUAGUAAUUGUUAACUUUGACUGCACCUAGAAUACCAAAAGAUUUCAAAACCACACCUGAGUGUGUUUGCGCCUGUGUGCACCAUCAUGAGACUCUACUUAAUUGGUCUAGGUUAAGACGUGAGCCUCAGGAUCCUGUUAGGCAACCAAGUUGAGAAUCUCUGGCAUCUCCAACUGGAGCCCGGCUUACCCCUGAGGACUGUGAAAUCAACAGAAUUGAAAUAUAGUUUGCUGAUGAUAUUUUGAGAAGUUCAACAACCUGGAUGUCCUACCAAGAUCCUGUUGAUAGUUCUGUGGCUCCUGAAGCCCAGGACCCUUAAUUCAGAAACAGGGAAAACAACUGAGGCCUUCGGUGAUGGGGAGGAAGCCUCUAAUUCCCUAGUUUCACGUUUGAUGAGGUGCCUUCCCACUGAUGGGCACAGCUGGCUGCAUGAUAUGUGAGUAGCAGAUCUCCAUUUCCUAUGACCAUUCUGAGGAAGGGCUCAGGAAUCCAGAAAAAAAUUGCCUCUGGCAGAUGCUCAGAGUCUCUUAGAUGAGUGUUCAGAUCAAGCUCUGCCUGUGUCUUUUCUUACAGUAUCUUUCAUUGACACAAUUUAUAUUUUAAAAAGCAUUUGAAUACAGUUUUAUCAUAUGACCUUAUCCUUAAAACACAUGUGUAUGUAGGUACCACAACUUCUUUAUUCACUCAUCUGUUGAUGGAUGUCUAGGUUGCUUGCAUGUCCUGGCUAUUGUAAAUAGUGUAGUGCUGCAGUGAACGUUGGUGUACAUGUGUUUUUUUGAAUUAUGAUUUUCUCAAGCAAUUAUCCUCCAAUUAAAAAAAAUUUAAUUGAAAAAAUUGAGGAUAAGAAGAAUGAGUUAAUUAAACUUUAUUAAUCACCUAAUGAGUUCCAGGAAUUGCGCUGGUUUCCCAUUAUAUUUUAAUAAGGUAAUUUACCUUUAGUUGCAACAUAUCUAUAAAUGUGGUGAAUGCACAUUUUUUAAAAAUCUGUAACAUAUAACUAUCCAAUGUAUAGCUGAAAAAAAGAUGUAGAGAGUGAGUAAACUGUGCAAGGUCUGACAGACACUGAGGAGUAGAGACAGCCUAGAAAGGCUCAUUUAAAAACUCAUUGCUCUUUCCACUUACCACAUUUAGGAAUGACACACCAGAUU
rnacentral:lncRNA from 1 species